rnacentral:rRNA from 1 species
CCCGAUGACAUUAGCAAGUGUGUCCCACCUGAUUCCAUCUCGAACUCAGAAGUGAAACCACUUAGCGCCGAUGGUAGUGUGGUUCGUCCAUGUGAGAGUAGGACAUUGUCGGGC